rnacentral:rRNA from 1 species
UACGAAGGGGGCUAGCGUUACUCGGAAUGACUGGGCGUAAAGGGCGCGUAGGCGGAUGGCACAGUCAGAUGUGAAAUUCCCGGGCUUAACCUGGGGGCUGCAUUUGAUACGUGUGAUCUGGAGUGAGGAAGAGGGUCGUGGAAUUCCCAGUGUAGAGGUGAAAUUCGUAGAUAUUGGGAAGAACACCGGUGGCGAAGGCGGCGACCUGGUCCUUGACUGACGCUGAGGCGCGAAAGCGUGGGGAGCAAACAGG